GCUGGGCACGGUGGCGCAUGCCUGUAAUCUCAGCUACUAGGGAGGCUGAGGCAGGAGAAUCACUUGAACCCAGGAGACAGAGGUUGCAGUGAGCCAAGAUCACGCCACUGCACUCCAGCCUGGGCAACAGAGUGAGACUCCGUCUCAA
ensembl:misc_RNA Metazoa_SRP Metazoan signal recognition particle RNA